rnacentral:rRNA from 1 species
GACGAAGGGGGCAAGCGUUGUUCGGAAUUACUGGGCGUAAAGGGCGCGUAGGCGGCCUGAUAAGUCAGACGUGAAAGGCCUGGGCUCAACCUGGGAAUUGCGUUUGGGACUGUUGGGCUAGAGAGCGGGAGAGGAUGGUGGAAUUCCAGGUGUAGCAGUGAAAUGCGUAGAGAUCUGGAGGAACACCGAUGGCGAAGGCAGCCCCCUGGGCUAACACUGACGCUCAUGCACGAAAGCGUGGGGAGCAAACAGG